rnacentral:sRNA from 1 species
UCCAUAUGCUGCGUGCGUGGCCCUAAAAAAAAAAGCUAAAUAAAUAAAGUGACAUUUGGAGUCCUGUUGUCACUGCAGGCUGAGCUCUGCGGGCAACCCGGGGCGUGACCUUCACCCACUGGGAUGGAGGAAGCAGCCUAGGCCUUGGCAGUGAGGACCCCCAAGG